ensembl:lncRNA
UUAAAUUAUAUGCAACAUUCUCUGACUGGAAGAAAUUUGUUUAACAUUUAAACCUAUUUUCUGCACAUUCCAGCACAUAAAAUAAAAUAUUUUUUUGUGUUUACACUCACUCUUUCAAAUAGAUGCAAGUAAAACACAGCAGAAAAUAAAUAAAAUCAAAGACUAGCGGUCCUGUUGCUCUAUUUUCACCUGUAAAGCAGGACUGGGGUAGGCGGAGGAGGUUUACCCUGGUGCAGGUGCUGCAGCGGUCAGUGGAAGAAUCCGCGAGUUUCUCUGUGAAUUUCACAUUACGUCGUAGCGCACUCGGUGCUUGCUUGGAAGUUUAGGGGUUUUUUUGCUGUAAAAAGAAGUUUUCUUCCCACGCACAACGGACACUAAUGUUUUUGUCACUUUUUAUGGAAUCAAACUCAAAAUAAGACAUGGCUGGUAAGGACAUGAGGAGGAAACAGUAGGAGCUGUGUGAGGCUACUAAAGGCAGUGGAUCCCUCAGCAGCUGGAUUACAAAGAGCACAGUCUCAGAUCAACACAGCCCUGCCUUCCAGCACUAUCAGCAGCAGGAGCAGCAGCAACCCCUCAACAGCAACAUUGUACCCAUCAGUUAGGAGGACCAACUGGCUCCAUUACUGAAGAAGAA